CAAGAGUGUUCUGGCUCUAAUUUAUUGAGAGAGAAAAAAUUUACAUGCAAGGUUUACUGAGGAAAUAGGAGGUAUUUAGAUAGAAGGGAAUUUAUAUGUUCGCAGUAAAUAAUUUUAUUUAUUUAAGAAAUUAAGAAAUAGUGAUUGCUUUUAGUAUGAGCAAAGUUUGUGCCAGCAGUUGCGGUUAUACUUACCAUGCAGCAGUAAAUUAUUAGUGUUAGACUAUGGAAAUUGAGUUAGGAAAAUUUUUUAUUAGGUGAAAUUUUAAAAGUUUUUUAUUAAUUUAUAGAUUUUUGAGUCUGAGAAGAUAAAAUUGUAAACUAGGAUUAGAUACCCUAUUAUAAAGAGGUAAUAGUAGAGCUAAAUUAGUAGUAGUUAUAUUCUUGAAAAUUACAGAAAUUGGCGGUUUUUUAGUCUAUUCAGAGGAACCUGUCCUGUAAGUGAUGCUCCACGUUUUGAUAGGCUUAUUUUUUAAAUUUACAUAUCGCCGUGAGUUGAGCAUUUUUUAAGAAGAAGAAUGCUCAAAAUUUUUAGUGAAAGAAUAUCAGGUCAAGAUGUAGUUUAUAAAUAAGAAGAGAUGGGUUACAUUAUAUGUAUUUACGCGAAUGAGGAAUUUUAAUUUUUCUUUGAAGAUGGAUUUGAAAGUAAUUUUUAAAAUUUUUUAAGGGUGAUUUUAGCUCUAAAAUAUGUACAUAUCGCCCGUCGCUUUCUCCCCAAGGGGAAAUAAGUCGUAACAGAGUAGGUGUACUGGAAAGUGUUUCUAGAAAGA
rnacentral:ncRNA from 1 species